rnacentral:rRNA from 1 species
GAUGAACGCUGGCGGUAUGCUUAACACGUGCAAGUCGAACGGACUCUUCGGAGUUAGUGGCGGACGGGUGAGUAACGCGUGAGAAUCUGGCUUUGGGUUCGGGACAACCACUGGAAACGGUGGCUAAUACCGGAUGUGCCGAGAGGUAAAAGAGAAAUUGCCUGAAGAUGAGCUCGCGUCUGAUUAGCUAGUUGGUGGGGUAAAGGCUCACCAAGGCAGCGAUCAGUAGCUGGUCUGAGAGGAUGACCAGCCACACUGGGACUGAGACACGGCCCAGACUCCUACGGGAGGCAGCAGUGGGGAAUUUUCCGCAAUGGGCGAAAGCCUGACGGAGCAAUACCGCGUGAGGGAAGAAGGCUCUUGGGUUGUAAACCUCUUUUCUUAGGGAAGAACAAAAUGACGGUACCUAAGGAAUCAGCAUCGGCUAACUCCGUG